UGUAAUAACACCGCCAAAAUGAACUUCACAUCUUUGUGUCUAUAAUCAAACACUAGGCUCCAAAACGAGUGGUCCUUUACUUCGGUUUUGGUUUUCUUGUUUUGUGAAAACUAAAUUCGAUUAAUAACCCUAUUUUUACUAGAGAAUCUCUUUUUACUAUUAAAUUUUCCUUUUCUUCAAAGAAAGUGAGUCUCAAAGUUCGAAUCUCGAUGUGUUGACGAAAUGAUUAAAGUUCCAUGAAUUUUCUCACAAACCUGAACAAGUUACUGUCAAGAAUAUUUCAGAGUAUCGUUACCGUUCUGAUUUAAAAAAUUUACGUCCAUCCGCAAAAAGCUAUACAUCUAAUCUUAUCCCAAGAGUAUUUAAUACAAAUAACUCAUUAUGAUGACCAAAAAAAAUCAUUACCUGUUUACACUGAGGAGCUUCGCAUUGAACAGUGCGAGAAGAGCUAGACUUGGAAGGGUCAAAGAGAACCGAGGAAGCACAGCCAAGGCAACCAGAACAAGGAACCCAAGUAACGUCAUUGCUAGUGUCAAGAGCCACGAGCAUGGGCUGAGCCGGUGUCCCAAUGUUAGCCCUCACGAUGUAAGUCGGGCUCUGAACGAUGGAACGUCCCGAGGCGAUUGGGACCCAAGGUUUCUUACCAACGGCGAGGCUUGACAAGUACUGGAGACGAGCAUUGUCUUUAAUAAGUGUGCUUUCCCAUGAGACAGUUUUUGGUUGUUUGUAUGGAGAGCAAGGACUAUCAAUGUGGAACACUCUUAGAUCUGAGGGAUGGCCUCGUGGGUUAUUUCCAUUGCAGUUUAGUGAUUCAGAGUUCAAGAGUAAGAGAGAGAUAAAUAAAAAGAGGAGUUGGAUUCUCAUUUUGUUAGAUCUUGAUUAAUUUGGUCUUUGUGGGUUUUAGUGUUUGUGGCUUGUGAGUGUGUGUGGGUUUAUAUAGUGAAUGAUGCAUGAGUGUUUAGGAAGUAAUAAGAAUUAAAAAAUGAAGAGUGGUUUUACUUGAGAGAACAGACUGUAUCCCAUCUCCUUUUUUCUUUCUGAUUCUUUUGGGUCCACUCUAGGAUCUCAUACUCAAGGAGUUGUAAUUUGUGGUUUGCUUUGUGUAUUAUUCAUUUGUUUUGUACACUGAUAAUUUAAUACUAGUUGGGUUUCUAUAAUACCUUAAA